CAAGCAUGUAGGUUAUGGUGAAACACAAUGUUUCACUACCAAGAACAAAUGGAUUCGUAGACAAACGCUUACCAAGCCAACAUUUAGCAGCUGGCACUACCAAGAACAACCAAAAGCCCAUGCCAUAUUCAUAUCCUAAUUUAUUAAAAUAAAAUGGAAACAAGUCUUCAUUUGAAAUAAUAAAAAACUCUAAAUUCGUAUAAAUUUCAAAAAUUUCAACCAAGUUUCAGAAUAAUUCUGACCGAAUCACCCGAUAUUCAACCAAAAAAUCCGGACGAUUCUGGCCAAUUCUGACCAAAUUCCGUCUCGGCGGAAUUAACCUUGAGAGCCCAAAACAGAAUAAUAACCCGAUUUGUACUUCUUAUCCCGAGCGUGCAUAUGUUUUCUAAAACUUCAAGAGUUAUGGAGUCGAUGAUUCCGUCACCGCAUCCAUCGUUAUAAUAGUGAUAGACAUGGAGAGCUGCUUCUAAUUUGUCGUCGAAGUUGUCAUUGUCGUCUGCUAGUGGAUUAUAGCUAUCCAUAUAUCCCUCUUUGUUCAAAAUCUUUUUCACCUCGUUCAUACCUUUUAUUGUAUCACCUCUUUUGCUUCCUAUCAAUCCCUCCAACUCCCAGUAUUUUGCCGAACGAUAAUCCACCUCUUCCAUAAUCGAUCCCGAGUCUGCUGCUGACAUAUCUCGCCUUCUUCUAGAAACCUUCCGACGGAGAUCUGUUAUCUUUUGGUGAUCUGCUGAGUUUAAACUUUCUCUAGUUAAGGUUCCAAACCUAGCUUACAUCUCUUUUAUAGGCAUACGAAAAACAAUAAUAGGAAAGUAUGUUGAUCUUUGAUCUCCACCAUCCAUUGAGGUCUCAAGAUAAAGGACACGGUGGUUAUGACGCAACCUUCACCUUCCCCUGAACCUACUUUCCCAAGUGCAGUGAGGCUUGGUCUGUUCCAGCCGUUUUUGUUUAUUGCCGUCGUGUAGCCGCUGGGUGCGGUAUCUUUUGUCGCUGAGGCAUUAUUUACAUCAACGAAACUUCACAUUUAAAUCAAACUCGGAUUUGUUUCUUCAGCUAUCAAGGUACUCAUUAGUCAUAACUUGCCAAUUCGACGUGGGUCUAAGUCUAAUUCUCCUACAAAGCGUCAAGGGUCUUCUGGAAGGAGUCCACCUUGAAGAGAAAGACGAAAGAGCUCUCCAAAAAGAAGGUAUCCUUUUAGGACCAAUUCUUCACACAAAACUGAAUUAGCUGUCGGAGAAAAAGAGAAAUUCUCCAGGAGUGGUAGGUCUCCUGCAGAUGAGAGAAAGAGUUAUCCAAGAGCUAGGUCUCCUGCUGGUCGAGCAGGUGAAAGAGAACUCGAAGACAGGUGGUAUGGUACCAGGGAUGGGAAUGAUGAUUUAGUCGUGAAGAUGAAGGCCGUUGAAGAAGCCUUGGAAGAGGAAAACUUUCAUUUAUGCAAUCUGGGAAGCACGCUGCAAUUCUUAAAAAGGCCAAGCAAUUUAUCACGGAGACACGGUGCUUUGAUGAUGGUCUUGAACCAUAUAUGAGUUGGAGGCUUGAGACCAUAGAGGACGAUAAUUUGCUUAAGCAUGGGAAGCAGUAAAAAAGGAACCUGGUGGCAUGAUAAAGCAACUAAGCCUUUACAUGUGGAAUUUUGGUUCCGACAUCGGAACCUACAUUAAUGUUAGUGAUUUAGAGAGCUAUUAUGCAAGAAUAGAUUUAUAGUAUUAUAUUAGGUUAGCGGUGACAUCUGGGUAAACUCAUUAGACCUGAAUGCUACAUUGAACUCAUGGAAAAAGACAAAAUCAAAUUUGGCAAGGGCAGCAGGCGAGAGUAUUAUUUGUUGCACGAGUACUCGAAACCGUCACCUCUUAAUAAUUUCAUACGUGAGAGAUCAAUUGUAUUUUGAACCACCUAGUCACUCAUCAGAAUAACGGAAAAGACAAUGGGAGGAGAUAAACAAUAUGGGUCAGAGCAUAAAUAUUUAAGAGAAAUUUCCUGUUUAGUCCAAAGAUUCGAUCCGGGAUUAGUGUCUAGUCCAGCGGGAUAGAACAAUUAUCCGCUAGUCCAAAAAGGUUUAAAAUCCUAGAAAAUUACUAGCCUACCCUCAACAUUCAUGCGUGGGUUAAAACUGUCUCUUCCCACUUCUUCUUCUUCUUCUUUCUUGAAGAAAAAACCGACUGCAACUCCUUCAUCUGAAAAACGAUUUCGGAAAUCAUUAAUUAUAGAAAAAUCAUCAGUUCCUGACCUAAUCAAUUACAUAAAUCAUCAGUUCCUGACCUAAUCAAUUACAUAAAUCAUCAGUUCCUGACCUAAUCAAUUACAUAAAUCAUCAGUUCCUAACCUAAUUUUUA